rnacentral:lncRNA from 1 species
AAAAAAAAACCUGAUUAAUAUUGUUUUGCUGAUUAUUUAUUUUACUGGGAAUUUCACUUUAUGUAACUUUAAAUGUAAAAUACAAUAAGUAAUUUUUUUUAUUCUAUUGUUAAAAGUGAAGGUAGAAUCAUUGGUUCUUUGGGGGAUUUCGGUGGCUGCAUGGUCUUAUUAUUCCAACAACUAUAUAGAUUUGAAAAGAAACAUAAGGUACUUAAGGUGGUACCAAACACCUUGAUUAAAGUUAAUUUGGCUCGAUUAAUUUUCAUAAAAUUUUUAUAAAAUAUUUACUUUGACCCAUUGACAAAAAUAUCAUAUUUUCAAACAACUUGAGCCACA